rnacentral:rRNA from 1 species
AGGUAAGCUACUAAGAGCGAAUGGUGGAUGCCUUGACUGGUAAAGGCGAUGAAGGACGUACUAGACUGCGAUAAGCUACGGGGAGCUGUCAAGAAGCUUUGAUCCGUAGAUUUCCGAAUGGGGCAACCCAAUGUAUAGAGAUAUACAUUACCUAUAUAGGAGCGAACGAGGGGAAUUGAAACAUCUUAGUACCCUCAGGAAAAGAAAUCAAUAGAGAUUGCGUCAGUAGCGGCGAGCGAAAGCGCAAGAGGGCAAACCCAGUGCUUGCACUGGGGGUUGUAGGACUGCAAUGUGCAAGAGGUGAGUUUAGCAGAACAUUCUGGAAAGUAUAGCCAUAGAGGGUGAUAGUCCCGUAUGCGAAAAACAAACCUUAGCUAGCAGUAUCCUGAGUAGGGCGGGACACGAGAAAUCCUGUCUGAAGCUGGGUCGACCACGAUCCAACCCUAAAUACUAAUACCAGAUCGAUAGUGCACAAGUACCGUGAGGGAAAGGUGAAAAGAACUGAGGUGAUCAGAGUGAAAUAGAACCUGAAACCAUUUGCUU